AACAAAUGAUAUCAUUUGGAGAAUAGAGGGAUUCAGAGGAUGACAGUUUAACAGCUAUGGCAGAAGGUAACCUCCCAACAACGGGAGGAGAACUGGAGGAGAAAAAUGAGUUUCCAGCCACAGCAACAGAGGAAAGUCAAGUUACGUCAAGUGACGCUGAACUGGAUGUAUACAAUGACCCUUUAAGAGG